GGACGGGGCGGGGCGGGAGGAGCUGUGGGCCGCUCUGACGGAGCUCCUGGAGGUACCGGAGUCCCCCGGCACCUGGAGCUUCCCCUGACAGCGUGAGCUCCGUGCGCUCACCGGAACGCCUCCGCUUUUCGUCGACUGAAGUGAUGAAGAUUACGGGGCAAGUCUUGAAAACGUGAGGUGCCCCAAACGCAGCAACUGAAUUGAGGUGUUCUCUGGUUUGUGGAUCGGUUCGUCUUUUCAGAAUACACUUUAUAUCAGCGACUUGCGGAAUCAGCAAUGUCACCACCGCGUACAAUUUCGUUUCGCAACUUCCUAUGCUGCCUUCGGCACCUGUACCCUACCCGCACGCAGCCCUGCUUGCGCCGAGGCGGGCAUCGCUCUGCUUCUGCCUCUGAAUCAGCAGCGGAUGCAGAUCCUGUCCUUUCAGAACCUCACUGAAGUCCGCUGUGCUCCUAUACGAUGAGUCGCUCGUGGUAUAGGAGCUCAGGUUGCCCAAGUUCCAGCUCUGAAGCCCCAGACCGCAUUGCAUUACAGGGCUUCUGUAACGGGACUGCCCGAGUGAUCGGUACCAGCAACUUGAGCGCUUGCUCCGUGCAUUUCAGGUUAAAAACUAAGAGGCUGACAUUAGUGAAGCCAUUUGGAACCAUCCACUCGGGGGGGGGGGGGGACUCAGUGCUCCUACUGCCACUGUUUGCCCUCGUUUCCCCCUGCUCCAGUGCAACAAACAUCUCUGGUCUACAGAGAUGAUGGUCUACAGAGAUGAUGGUCUACAGAGAUCCCACAGAGCCCGCUCCUUGGUCUCACCUGAAUUUCUGUGCUGUGGGCAUAGAGUAAGUGGUGUGAAAAUAACACAUCUGUGUGACUUAUCUUUCUCUGUACCAUCGUUUUGAAUUUUAAAAUUAGAAUAACAGUGCGGUCACUCCAUACCAAACCAGGAAGGAGUGCUUCCUUUCCGCCCUCCUAAAGACGGCCAAAAUCUUUCAACAAUGCCAAAAACGAAGCAAAUAAUCCUACUUCCUGACUUCAAUCUGUCCCUUGCAGCAUGGCAGCCUCUGGCCUUCACCCACUCACCACGUGUUAGAUUGCUUCUUGCAAACUCCAGCAACCAUUUGUGGAGCUUGGAUCUAUCCAUAUCUGCCCAAGCUUCUAAUCAUGCAGGUCCCACAGGAGUCAAUUUUCCGUCUGCUUGAUAUUUACAGUCUCUCUCAAUUUCCUGCCUUCUAUGAAUUUCUGUCAGAUAUUUGUACUGCAAUCAUUACAGGGAGAUUGCAUUUGAUUACCUUGUUUUAUUGGAUACUACAUAUAUGAUGUUCUUUUCCAUGUAACAAGGGAGAUAUUAGAAAACAUGCCCACAGAAUGAACCACCUUUAUAGCACGAUAAGCACCUGCUCGCCCUCCCUCAUGAGUUAUACUGACAUUUCUAUUCAGUAAGAUUAACUAACUAGUUCCUUCUAACCAAGGCUUCGUGAAAUCCAUGAGCUAAAAUCUAUAUGGGAUAAAAAUAGCCCACAUCCAGAGACCUCAGAGGACAGCACACGUGAGCGGCCUUGGAGCCAGACAGACACGGGUAUCCGAACACCCCCUGUAAGGCCAGCCCUGUCCCUUCCUGCCUGCGGCAGGAGGAAGAAGAGGCAGCCUUCUUGGUGAGCCCAGUUCCUUGCUUUUGGAUACUGUUGUGCUGGCUGGCCAGCUGUUUGCAUGUGUAACUCUGCAACACUGACACAAACAACAAACACGGAAACUCAUCAGGAAGAAAGAAUGCUACCUGAGUACUGUAGGCAUGUCAUUUUCUGGUGGGAGAUAGAAUCCUGGUACUGCAAAACCAGGACUUUGGAAAACACAGGACGUCAGCAGAACAGAGCUCUGACUUCUCUCCCUGUAACUGCUGUAAACACAGGGUAAAGCUAACAGCAGAUUUACACAGCAUUGGUGAAGCUUCAGACUGAACCACCUUGGUUCUGCAGUGGAUCCCUUACAGACUUAGUAUUGAGCUUGGAGAUGCCCACCAGUGGAUCUCACCAGCCAGAAGAAAUAGCAGUAAAAUAAGACUAAGAUCGUCGUGAAGAUCUUUUCUAUCCUGAUUCUUUUGAAAAUGUUGUAAUUAAUAACUGACACGUUAAGAAACAAAAUAUUGAUUGAGGAAUGUUAUGUACAUUAUGCUGAACAAUAAAACAUUGUGGCAAUCACCUAUAAUGCAGGUUUUAUUUUCAGGUUCUUGUGAACCUCUGAAACCAUGUCUACAAACAUGUAAUUAUACCAUGGGAAAGCUGUCACUAUUUAUAAUGACAUAAAGAUGAAGUACAGGCAGCAGGAGAGGCUUAAUGGAGCUCUCUGUAGAUAGCAAGUCAAUCAUUAGCUGGUCCUAAUACAUCUGUUUCCAUGAGAUUGCUGUGCAAGGGAUUGUGUAUCUUUCUUAUUGAAUUACAAGACACUUGUUGCAUUUGCCUGCCGGGUUGUAUCAACCUUAUUUCUGUUAUCACCACUUUGACUUGCCCUUUGCCACAAAAUACCUCUUUGGUAACCUUACCUACUACCCCAGUUGACUCAGAUGAAUUGCUCCAGUCCAAGACCUCUGUAUCAUGGCACACCUUAGAUAUUUAACCCGGAGCUUCACGUUGCUAGCGCAGCAAUGGCCUUGCUUUGAGGAAAACUCUUGAAAUGUAACAGCUCAUUUUGGACCUCAAGUUUGAUUACGGGAAAUCCAGGUCUCCUACGAGAAAGUGCAAAACCUGCUGAGGAAUUCUGCCAUCGACUGAAGAAAACCUGGAUUAAAUCACAAUAUCGGUACAUGAGUAAGUCCAUAUGAAGAGAAUGCAUUACUCACAGGGCUUCUCAACCAUUGUGGAUGCAUGUGUGCACAAACUUGCAUGGAAGAGCUACAUCUGCUUUGGCCUGUUCCUGUGAGCUUCAGUGUUACAAGAUGUGUUUCAGCUUUAGAUCCUGGCAGUGGACCCUGCUGAACAGAAUUCUGGUUGCUCAGAACAAGUGUGUCUGCAGGACUCCAAAUAAUGGCUGUAAUGUGACAAACUGCACGGCAGAUGUUGAGCAGCAAAGGCAAUGACAAACCCUAUGGAGGUAUGUCGUCUGCUGAGGCUUCACAGGAGCUUGAUAAACCCAAUGGAACAGCUGUUGCACGGCUUGGCA
ensembl:lncRNA